rnacentral:rRNA from 1 species
CGACCGCUGGCGGCGUGCCUAAUACAUGCAAGUAGAACGCUGAAGGAGGAGCUUGCUCUUCUGGAUGAGUUGCGAACGGGUGAGUAACGCGUAGGUAACCUGCCUGGUAGCGGGGGAUAACUAUUGGAAACGAUAGCUAAUACCGCAUAACAGUAGAUGUUGCAUGACAUUUACUUAAAAGGUGCAAUUGCAUCACUACCAGAUGGACCUGCGUUGUAUUAGCUAGUUGGUGGGGUAACGGCUCACCAAGGCGACGAUACAUAGCCGACCUGAGAGGGUGAUCGGCCACACUGGGACUGAGACACGGCCCAGACUCCUACGGGAGGCAGCAGUAGGGAAUCUUCGGCAAUGGACGGAAGUCUGACCGAGCAACGCCGCGUGAGUGAAGAAGGUUUUCGGAUCGUAAAGCUCUGUUGUAAGAGAAGAACGAGUGUGAGAGUGGAAAGUUCACACUGUGACGGUAUCUGACCAGAAAGGGACGGCUAACUACGUG